UGAACGCUGACAGAAUGCUUAACACAUGCAAGUCAACUUGAACUUCGGUUUGGGUGGCGGACGGGUGAGUAACGCGUAAAGAACUUGCCUCACAGCUAGGGACAACAUUUGGACACGAAUGCUAAUACCUGAUAUUAUGAUUAUAUGGCAUCGUAUAAUUAUGAAAGCUAUAUGCGCUGUGAGAGAGCUUUGCGUCCCAUUAGCUAGUUGGAGAGGUAACAGCUCACCAAGGCGAUGAUGGGUAGCCGGCCUGAGAGGGUGAUCGGCCACAAGGGGACUGAGACACGGCCCUUACUCCUACGGGAGGCAACAGUGGGGAAUAUUGGACAAUGGACCGAGAGUCUGAUCCAGCAAUUCUGUGUGCACGAUGAAGUUUUUCGGAAUGUAAAGUGCUUUCAGUUGGGAAGAAAAAAAUGACGGUACCAACAGAAGAAGUGACGGCUAAAUACGUG
rnacentral:rRNA from 1 species